GACGAACGCUGGCGGCGUGCUUAACACAUGCAAGUCGAACGGAGUGGCGACCGGGUGAGUCACACGUGGGUGACCUGCUCUGCACUUCGGGCUAAGCCUGGGCAACUGGGUCUACUACCGGAUAGUGUGGGAUGGGCCCGCGGCCUAUCAGCUUGUUGGUGGGGUAAUGGCCUACCACGGCGGCGACGGGGUGCCGGCCUGAGAGGGUGGACGGCCACAUUGGGCAUGAGACACGGCCCAGACUCCUACGGGAGGCAGCAGUGGGGAAUCUUGCACAAUGGUCGGAGGCCUGAUGCAGCGACGCCGCGUGGGGGAUGACGGCCUUCGGGUUGUAAACUCCUUUCAACAUCGACGCGGAAGAUGGAGAAGAAGCAACGGCUAACUACGUGCCAGCCGCCGCGGUAAUAC
rnacentral:rRNA from 1 species